AUAAGUAUUGCUAUGCAGUUCCGUAUUACAAGAAAAUGGGACGGAAAUGCAGAACAAAACUUAACCAUCAAUUAGAUCAUUCAGCAGUCAACAAUCUUCUUCGACGUCUCUUUGCAUUUCUCCUAUGCUGUGCCCAUCUCUCUUUAAUACCACAUAACUUAUAAUUUUGGUGUUCGUAAUCAAAGUCCUUAGAUGUUUCAGAUCCUUUGGACGCUGCAGUACUAAAAUCCCCUCUGAUUCUGGCAGCUUCAGCAAUCAGAUCAUUUACAAUCAUUUCAGUGGUCCUAGAGGUGAUUCCUCUUAGAUACCAGGAAAUGGGUGGUGGUGGAACUAGUGUUGGCUGGAUUAUCUGCUCCAAGCUCACCUUUGAUCCUAUUCUUCCUUUGCCUCCUGUACAUGAAUAAUAGUCUAUCCAUGUUUUAGGUUUGAAUGGAUGGCAGACGCAUUCAUCAACGAACACAGGUUCUACCCUCCAGCAUCCUUCAAAUUUUUUCAUGAACCCGGUUUGCACUUGCUUGAAUUUCAUCGUCAGAUCUUGUCUGUUCUGAUCAACUAAAACAUGAACUGAAAUAGUCCCAGACCACCAAAGAAAUUUCCAUAUAGCUGCUUGUUCCAAUUCAACUAGCUGCCUUGGACCUUCAUCAAGCAGAACUUUCCUCGAUAUCACUUCCUUGAUGUUUUUGAAAACUCUCCUAUUGUCAGGGUCAGUCACAAUAUCAUAUACCGCAUCUGGAGGCAAACCAACAUUAACGUUCACAUUAAGGUUGCACAGAGAACCUUUUGGUACACUGACCUUUAUCUCUGGAGGCUGAUCAACCCAGGAAGGAUUUUCUCUCCAAGAUUGUAAUUGCCUCUCAAGAUCAAUCCUCAAAGCAGUAGCUGAUCCUUCUUCCUUCCUCACUGAGGGUGAUUCCCCUUUUUCUUUUGCUAAUUUCCUGAGCUGUGACUUUAAACAAUUUUGAAGCUUGUUUGGUAGCUGUACAAGAAAUGAUGGAUCAAAUGCCCUGUGCACACCAUUUCCCAUGCUGUUGGUGUUGGGGGCUUCCAUGCUCGUCCCUUUCAUAUCUGUCUCACCCAUUAAAGCAGAUGGGAUUUAAAACCACAAGAAUAUCCCAAGAAUUGUGGAAUCUCCUGCCUCCCUCCCUUAUUCAAGUCCUAUACUUUUCUUAUUGAUAAUCCAAAGGUUGGUCAGCACGAGAUGCAAACGCAAAUUGCAAAUUGUGAAA
rnacentral:misc_RNA from 1 species